rnacentral:piRNA from 1 species
CCACAGAAGCUAUGAGUGAGGAUC